UGGGGAAUAUUGCGCAAUGGGGGAAACCCUGACGCAGCAACGCCGCGUGAAGGAUGAAGGCUUUCGGGUUGUAAACUUCUUUGAUCGGGGACGAAAAUGACGGUACCUCAAAAACAAGCCACGGCUAACUACGUGCCAGCAGCCGCGGUAAUACGUAGGUGGCGAGCGUUGUCCGGAAUUACUGGGUGUAAAGGGCGUGUAGGCGGGAAAGCAAGUCAGAUGUGAAAUACCGGGGCUUAACUCCGGGGCUGCAUCUGAAACUGUUUUUCUUGAGUGUCGGAGAGGAAAGUGGAAUUCCCAGUGUAGCGGUGAAAUGCGUAGAGAUUGGGAGGAACACCAGUGGCGAAGGCGGCUUUCUGGACGAUAACUGACGCUGAGGCGCGAAAGCGUGGGUAGCAAACAGG
rnacentral:rRNA from 2 species